GUGCUCACUUUAGCAGCACAUGUGCAAAAAACUGGAACAAUACAGAGAAUAUUAGCAUGACCCCUGCACAAUGAUGACACACAAAUUUUUAAAGCAUUCCAUAUUUUU
ensembl:snRNA U6 U6 spliceosomal RNA